UACAGAGGGGGCAAGCGUUAUUCGGAAUUAUUGGGCGUAAAGGGCGCGUAGGCGGCCAUUCAAGUGACGGGUGAAAGCCCUCGGCUUAACCGAGGAACUGCCUGCCAGACUGGAUGGCUCGAGACCGAGAGAGGUGAGUGGAAUUUCCAGUGUAGCGGUGAAAUGCGCAGAUAUCGGGAGGAACACCGGUGGCGAAGGCGGUUCUCUGGGCCUGUACUGACGCUGAGGAGCGAAAGCGUGGGGAGCAAACAGG
rnacentral:rRNA from 1 species